rnacentral:ncRNA from 1 species
GGCGGACGCCAAACUGCCCGAUGCGCAGUCAGGUUACGAGAAAGCCUAUACCAACGCACUCGCCGGGCACAGUGGUGCCAACUUGGUCUAUGAAUCU